GGCUUUGGCUCAGUGGAAGAACACCUGUUUAGCAUGCAGAAGGUCCAAGGUUCAAUCCCUGGCAUCUCCU
rnacentral:tRNA from 1 species